rnacentral:rRNA from 1 species
GUCGAACGGAUCUGUAUUGAAACCUAGUGGUAUACAGGUUAGUGGCGGACGGGUGAGUAACGCGUGGAUAACCUGCCGUAUACCGGGGGAUAACACUUAGAAAUAGGUGCUAAUACCGCAUGAGCGCACAGCUCCGCAUGGAGCAGUGUGAAAAACUCCGGUGGUAUACGAUGGAUCCGCGUCUGAUUAGCCAGUUGGCGGGGUAACGGCCCACCAAAGCGACGAUCAGUAGCCGGCCUGAGAGGGUGAACGGCCACAUUGGGACUGAGACACGGCCCAGACUCCUACGGGAGGCAGCAGUGGGGAAUAUUGCACAAUGGGGGAAACCCUGAUGCAGCGACGCCGCGUGAGUGAAGAAGUAUCUCGGUAUGUAAAGCUCUAUCAGCAGGAAAGAUAAUGACGGUACCUGACUAAGAAGCCCCGGCUAACUACGUGCCAGCAGCCGCGGUAAUACGUAGGGGGCAAGCGUUAUCCGGAUUUACUGGGUGUAAAGGGAGCGUAGACGGCAGCGCAAGUCUGGAGUGAAAUGCCGGGGCCCAACCCCGAAACUGCUUUGGAAACUGUGCGGCUCGAGUGCGGGAGAGGUAGGCGGAAUUCCUAGUGUAGCGGUGAAAUGCGUAGAUAUUAGGAGGAACACCAGUGGCGAAGGCGGCUUACUGGACCGUAACUGACGUUGAGGCUCGAAAGC